AGGUUUAUUUAUCUCUUAGACUGCAAACCUAAGUAUGCGUUUCGCUAAAACCUU
rnacentral:tRNA from 1 species